rnacentral:misc_RNA from 1 species
AAGUCGUAACAAGGUAUCCGUAGGUGAACCUGCGGAUGGAUCAUUAAGAAGUACUUUUACUCUUUUAGCUAAAAGAGCUAAUCCUUUACCCGAAAGAUGGUGAAAGGUCUUUAACCGAUGUGGUCUAAUAGAACUGUGUUAGUUGGGCUGUAAUUGAUCGUGUGUGCGUGCGUGCUUCAUGCAUGCAUGCAUGUGUGAUUGAUUCGCCCGACAUUAUACUAAACCAUAAUACUUUUAUACAUUACCGACUGAUGUUGCCUUGCGACUUUUUGUGAAUCACACAUGCCUAGUGUGUGUGAUGAUCAAUGGUAACAAGUAAAACAAUUGUAAUAAUCUAAUACAACUGCUAGCAACGGAUCACUCGGCUCUCACGUCGAUGAAGAACCGCAGC